rnacentral:rRNA from 1 species
AGAGUUUGAUCCUGGCUCAGGAUGAACGCUGGCGGCGUGCCUAAUACAUGCAAGUCGAACGAAGAUCUAGCUUGCUAGAUCUUAGUGGCGAACGGGUGAGUAAUACAUAAAUAAUCUGCCCAUAUGACUGGGAUAACUAUUGGAAACGAUAGCUAAUACCGGAUAGGUUAAUCGGAGGCAUCUCUGAUGAAUUAAAGUAGGAUUUCUACACAAAUGGAUGAGUUUAUGGCGCAUUAGUUAGUUGGUGGGGUAACGGCCUACCAAGACGAUGAUGCGUAGCCGACCUGAGAGGGUGACCGGCCACACUGGGACUGAGACACGGCCCAGACUCCUACGGGAGGCAGCAGUAGGGAAUUUUCGGCAAUGGGCGCAAGCCUGACCGAGCAACGCCGCGUGAGUGAUUAAGGCCUUCGGGUUGUAAAGCUCUGUUGUAAGGGAAGAACAUUCAGGAUAGGAAAUGAUCUUGAACUGACGGUACCUUACCAGAAAGCCACGGCUAACUACGUGCCAGCAGCCGCGGUAAUACGUAGGUGGCAAGCGUUAUCCGGAAUUAUUGGGCGUAAAGGGUGCGUAGGCGGUUUAUUAAGUCUAUGGUGAAAGUGCGGGGCUCAACCCCGUAUGGCCAUAGAAACUGGUAGACUUGAGUGCAGGAGAGGGCAAUGGAAUUCCAUGUGUAGCGGUAAAAUGCGUAGAUAUAUGGAGGAACACCAGUGGCGAAGGCGGUUGCCUGGCCUGUAACUGACGCUGAAGCACGAAAGCGUGGGGGAGCAAAUAGGAUUAGAUACCCUAGUAGUCCACGC